ensembl:rRNA 5S_rRNA 5S ribosomal RNA
GCCAGCAGCCAUAUCACCCUGCAACUCACAACUGGUAGCCCACUGAAGCGAAGCAGGUGUGAGCCUGGUCAGUACCUGGAUAGGAGACCUCCUGGGAAAAACUAAGGUUGGUGCUGGAA